rnacentral:rRNA from 1 species
GAUGAACGCUGGCGGCGUGCCUAAUACAUGCAAGUCGAGCGAACAGACGAGGAGCUUGCUCCUCUGACGUUAUCGGCGGACGGGUGAGUAACACGUGGAUAACCUACCUAUAAGACUGGGAUAACUUCGGGAAACCGGAGCUAAUACCGGAUAAUAUAUUUAACCGCAUGGUUCAAUAUUGAAAGACGGUUUUGCUGUCACUUAUAGAUGGAUCCGCGCCGCAUUAUCUAUUUGGUAAGGUAACGGCUUACCAAGGCAACGAUGCGUAGCCGACCUGAGAGGGUGAUCGGCCAAACUGGAACUGGGAAACGGUCCAGACUCCUACGGGAGGCAGAAGUAGGGAAUCUUCCGAAAAGGGCGAAAGCUUGACGGAGCAACGCCGCGUGAGUGAUGAAGGUCUUCGGAUCGUAAAACUCUGUUAUUAGGGAAGAACAAAUGUGUAAGUAAAUAUGCAAGUAUUGACGGUACCUAAUCAGAAAGCCACGGCUAACUACGUG